rnacentral:lncRNA from 1 species
GUUUUUAUGAGGUGCUAGGGACCCAUUUUUGAGUCUUUUCUGUCUGCAGACUGUUGGCAGUUUGAACGGGACACUUGGAUUUCAGGUUUGGCAGCCCUGCCUGGAAAGCAUCUGUGGAUCCUUAUGAAGCAGGGUGUGGCCUCAUGGUCACCAAAAGCUCAGAGCCUAAAGGGAGGGAAGCCAUCGCCCGCCCCGGGACAGCCCCCCGCCAGGCCUGCUGUGACAGCAGCUCCCUCAGAAAGC